GGCUGGAUAGCUCAGUUGGUAGAGCACCAGAAUGGCAAACCGGAGGUCGUGGGUUCAAACCCCGCUCCUGUCA